rnacentral:rRNA from 1 species
AGACCCGAAACCCGGUGAUCUAGCCAUGGGCAGGUUGAAGGUUGGGUAACACUAACUGGAGGACCGAACCGACUAAUGUUGAAAAAUUAGCGGAUGACCUGUGGCUGGGGGUGAAAGGCCAAUCAAACCGGGAGAUAGCUGGUUCUCCCCGAAAGCUAUUUAGGUAGCGCCUCGUGAAUUCAUCUCCGGGGGUAGAGCACUGUUUCGGCUAGGGGGCCAUCCCGGCUUACCAACCCGAUGCAAACUGCGAAUACCGGAGAAUGUUAUCACGGGAGACACACGGCGGGUGCUAACGUCCGUCGUGAAGAGGGAAACAACCCAGACCGCCAGCUAAGGUCCCAAAGUCAUGGUUAAGUGGGAAACGAUGUGGGAAGGCCCAGACAGCCAGGAUGUUGGCUUAGAAGCAGCCAUCAUUUAAAGAAAGCGUAAUAGCUCACUGGUCGAGUCGGCCUGCGCGGAAGAUGUAACGGGGCUAAACCAUGCACCGAAGCUGCGGCAGCGACACUAUGUGUUGUUGGGUAGGGGAGCGUUCUGUAAGCCUGUGAAGGUGGCCUGUGAGGGUUGCUGGAGGUAUCAGAAGUGCG